CCUUGCUUCUCUUGAGAGCGGCGGACGGGUGAGUAAUGCCUAGGAAUCUGCCUAGUGGUGGGGGAUAACGUUCGGAAACGGACGCUAAUACCGCAUACGUCCUACGGGAGAAAGCGGGGGACCUUCGGGCCUCGCGCCAUUAGAUGAGCCUAGGUCGGAUUAGCUAGUUGGUGAGGUAAUGGCUCACCAAGGCUACGAUCCGUAACUGGUCUGAGAGGAUGAUCAGUCACACUGGUAACUGAGACACGGUCCAGACUCCUACGGGCAGGCAGCAGUGGGGAAUAUUGGACAAUGGGCGAAAGCCUGAUCCAGCCAUGCCGCGUGUGUGAAGAAGGUCUUCGGAUUGUAAAGCACUUUAAGUUGGGAGGAAGGGUAGUAACUUAAUACGUUGCUACUUUGACGUUACCGACAGAAUAAGCACCGGCUAACUUCGUGCCAGCAGCCGCGGUAAUACGAAGGGUGCAAGCGUUAAUCGGAAUUACUGGGCGUAAAGCGCGCGUAGGUGGUUCAGU
rnacentral:rRNA from 1 species